rnacentral:rRNA from 1 species
GACGAACGCUGGCGGCGUGCUUAACACAUGCAAGUCGAACGGAAAGGCCCUGCUUUUGUGGGGUGCUCGAGUGGCGAACGGGUGAGUAACACGUGAGUAACCUGCCCUUGACUUUGGGAUAACUUCAGGAAACUGGGGCUAAUACCGGAUAGGAGCUCCUGCUGCAUGGUGGGGGUUGGAAAGUUUCGGCGGUUGGGGCUGGACUCGCGGCUUCUCCGCUUGUUGGUGGGGUAGUGGCUUACCAAGGCUUUGACGGGUAGCCGGCCUGGGAGGGUGACCGGCCACAUUGGGACUGCGAUACGGCCCAGACGCCUACGGGAGGCAGCAGUGGGGAAUAUUGCACAAUGGGCGGAAGCCUGAUGCAGCAACGCCGCGUGCGGGAUGACGGCCUUCGGGUUGUAAACCGCUUUCGCCUGUGACGAAGCGUGAGUGACGGUAAUGGGUAAAGAAGCACCGGCUAACUACGUG